rnacentral:rRNA from 1 species
GUAGGGAAUAUUGGACAAUGGGGGCAACCCUGAUCCAGCGACGCCGCGUGAGUGAUGAAGGCCUUCGGGUCGUAAAGCUCUGUUGCAGGGGAAGAACACAAUGACGGUACCCUGCUAGAAAGGAUCGGCUAACUUCGUGCCAGCAGCCGCGGUAAGACGAGGGAUCCUAGCGUUGUUCGGAAUUAUUGGGCGUAAAGCGGGUGCAGGUGGCUUGGUAAGUCAGAUGUGAAAGCCUGGGGCUUAACCCCAGAAGUGCAUUUGAUACUGCUGAGCUUGAGUGCUGGAGACGCUAUUAGAAUUCCUGGUGUAGUGGUGAAAUACGUAGAUAUCAGGAGGAAUACCGGAGGCGAAGGCGGAUAGCUGGCCAGACACUGACACUAAGACCCGAAAGCGUGCGGAUCAAACAGGAUUAGAAACCCGUGUAGUCC